rnacentral:rRNA from 1 species
GAUGAACGCUGGCGGUAUGCUUUAACACAUGCAAGUCGAACGGAAUCUUCGGAUUUAGUGGCGGACGGGUGAGUAACGCGUGAGAAUCUGGCUUCAGGUCGGGGACAACAGUUGGAAACGACUGCUAAUACCGGAUAUGCCGAGAGGUGAAAGGUUAACUGCCUGAAGAUGAGCUCGCGUCUGAUUAGCUAGUUGGUGGGGUAAGGGCUUACCAAGGCGACGAUCAGUAGCUGGUCUGAGAGGAUGAUCAGCCACACUGGGACUGAGACACGGCCCAGACUCCUACGGGAGGCAGCAGUGGGGAAUUUUCCGCAAUGGGCGAAAGCCUGACGGAGCAAUACCGCGUGAGGGAGAGGGCUCUUGGGUCGUAAACCUCUUUUUUCAGGGAAGAAAAAAUAGACGGUACCUGAGGAAUAAGCAUCGGCUAACUCCGUGCCAGCAGCCGCUGU